CCCCUCUCAGGGUCACACCUGGAGAGUUUCAAGUACUCCACCAGUCUCGACUAAGGGAGGGAGAGUCAAGCAGAGGCCUAUUCGUUCCAUUCCUAGCUUGGGCAGUAGCUAGCUAGUGGAAGGCAAUCUGCUACAAGU